rnacentral:rRNA from 1 species
GACAGAGGGUGCAAACGUUGUUCGGAAUUACUGGGCGUAAAGCGCGUGUAGGCGGCUCGGAUAGUCGGGUGUGAAAGCCCUGGGCUCAACCCAGGAAGUGCACUCGAUACUGCCGAGCUGGAGUCCCGGAGAGGAUGGCGGAAUUCUCGGUGUAGAGGUGAAAUUCGUAGAUAUCGAGAGGAACACCUGUGGCGAAGGCGGCCUUCUGGACGAUGACUGACGCUGAGACGCGAAAGCGUGGGGAGCAAACAGG